UUUGAGUGAUGCAUCUCUAUUGUUGUGUAGAAUAGUGCAUGCUUAAGUUUUACUAUAGAGAUUUACCGUGAUGCUAAUGGAGUAGCGAAACGCUUUGUGGGAGUCUUUACUGUGCUUGUAUGCCAGUACAGGGUGAUGAUCUAUGUGAGGAUCUAUGAGAUAAUCUCUGUGAAGAUCUAAGUGAUGAUCUCUGUGAUGAUCCACGUGAUGAUUUUGUGUAAUUGAUGUGGAGUGAUGUUGAGCAGUUGUUUUGUGAAUUUACAUCGUGACGAAAGGAUUUAGUGGCCAUAGGAAUGUAUUUUUAUACAAAGGGCUGUGGCUUUGUAGAUUACUACAACUUUGGGAAUGAUGGAGAUUCGAUGGUUAGGUCAACCUUAAUCAAGAGGAAUUGACUUACGCUUAAAUUUCGGGACGAAAUUUCUUUAAGGAGGGUGGAUUGUAAUACCCCGAAAAAUCUAAAUUAUUUUUCCGAGGACAUUUUAGAAAUGAUUUCGUGGUCAUGGGAGAAAGUAUGAAGCUUGGAGGAGUGGUGAAAUUGGUUCGAACAAUUUUUAUUCGAAAACUGAACGUUUUAGGGGAGGUCAAAGGAGUUGACUUUUUAUACGUUCAUAAUUGGGGAAAACUUCCUUCAUGAAAGUUGUAGAGCUCGUCGAUACGAUCUCGUGCAUAUGUGGUAUGCAAAAAUCAGAGUUCGUAUGAAUUAGUUAUGAUUUUUUUGAAAAAGUUUCCAGUUUAGUAUAAAGCUGCCAUUUUUGGAAAUUACCAAAAAUAAUUUCAGUUCCAUUUCUGGAAACCGAACUCUCUCUCUCUUGCGCGCGUCCGAGCCCAGAAAAAACAGAGCAAAGCUCUCCGGCCGAGUUCUCCCUCCUCCGGCCACCAAUCGACACCAGACCACCUCCCUUGCCUUCGCCUCGACGCCGCCUACCUGCUAGACGUGAUCACUUCCACCGGAACGGCCUCAAAUCCGGCAGUCGGAGCCGCAAACUUUGAAACAAAAAUCGGUCAACGCCGGUUUUCUCCUAGCUCCGGCCACCAAAACUCACGAUCCUUAGCUCCCUGAACUCGCCUCAACCUUCUGAUCAUCAUUCUAGAAGGAUCGCACCUGGAGUGAUCGGAUUCACGUUCGUCGGAGCUCGCCGGAUUCUGGAAAUUUUCCACCACCACCGAAGCUUUUGAUAGAAGGAAUCGAAGCCUGAAAUUGAAGUUUUGACGUCGAAAUCAAGCCUUGCCGGAUUCUGCAAAAUUCUGGAAUUUUUCCGACCACCGAAGCUUUCGAUCGGUAUAUCUCGAGCUACAGACCAUAUUUUUCUGUGAUUCUUGAACCAGUGAGUUCUUCUUGAGUUUCUUAACAACUCUUCAGAAGGAAUCGAAGCCUUAAAUUGACGUUUUUACGUCGAAUUGGAGCUCGCCGUUUUCUGCAGUUUCUCGCCGGUUUCUGGAAAAUUCCGGCCACCUUCAUACUGUUCAAAGUAAUUUUCGACCCCUUCCGGUCAUUUUCAGACUUCGUGCUAGUUAUGAAAGUUGUCAAGCAUGAUGAGAGGAAGAAGAGCAGCCCGGCCCCGACACCAUUGGUGGUGGUCGGCGGCGGCUCUGCCACUAACUCCGGCGGCCCUUUCCGGCCACCUCCGGGGAUCAAAAAUAUGGUUUCUGUACAUUUUCAGAUUCUAUAUUUCAAUACGAUCAUUUCGAUAUAUUAUACGCAAUUUUUGGAUAUCGUAUGAUUAAGUUAUGAAUUUUUAAGUUUAGAUCGAUUUCGAUCGUUAGAUUUGUGAUCUGUGAAGUUAGUACCGUCAGAUGGACUUGUAGUUUUGAUAUGAUGAUCUUAUGACAGUCCCAGUGGGUUUGUGUAGUCAUGGGCGAAGAUCCGACCGUUGGAUCUUCGUAUAAAUGCAAAACAGUGAUUAGGAAGGCGAUCCGUGAGGAUCCGACCGUUGGAUCAUCAUUUAAUUUCAAUCCGACCGUUGGAUUGUCGUUUGAUUAUGUUUUUGAGUUAUUUGCUAAGUUAAGGUCAUGUUUGAUUAGGUGAUCGACGGUUUGAUUUGGCGGACGAUUCGUGAAAUUGUAUUUUGAGCUGUUAAGAAGACGCAGCGGGAAUUUAGAGCGGGUAAUCCUACAGGUCAGGAGAACCAGGACGGUGAUCGGGCUGCUUAGAGUAGUGUUAUGUGAAUUACAGCAUUAUAUUGUGAGGUUUGUUAUGCUCAUUUAGAGCUUUACGAUUUUACUUUGUAAGAGUGAAUUGUAAUAAUUAACUCGAGGUUUUCGAGUUUUGUGUUGAGUGGCGAGUGGUGUGUUUGUUUCUGAGAAAAAAAAAUUCAGAACGUUAUUUGUAUUAAUUGUUUAUUCAUGUUUCGGAUUUGAAUUUAUUAUUCAAAAUUCGGGGCGUGACAAAUACA